rnacentral:lncRNA from 1 species
UCCAAUCUCCUAUAUAAAAAGCCAACAUAGAAACAUAACAUAAAGUCGUUGCUUAUUAGGUUUCAAAACAGCAAAUACAAAUUGCAAAUAAAUGAAAUAACACCAUUGAUACAUCCAAUUAAAGUAAUAUUUCAACAACUAUUCAAUAUAUAUACAACACAUUUUGAUGAAAACUAUGGUAAAAAACAUAUAUGUUGCAAACAAUUGAAGGCUUGAAGCUCUGUUGUUACCAUGUCGUUCUUGAAACCAGACACCGCUACACGAGCACAACUGCACAUCAAGUUCAAAACACAUCAAAUAGAAGAUAUUGAUGUGGAUGUACAUGUCCUUGUUUUGCUUUGUUUUUAUCUUUACUAUAGUUGAAUAUGUCAAGUAAGCGUUUCUAUUUAGCCAUUUAGGGAACUACCUUAUUAGUCACCAUUUCAAAUAGUUAGCAUAAAUCCCUAACAUUUGGAAAAAAAGUAAAGUAAUUACUUUCGGGGCGUCAUAUUAUCGGAAACCAUACAUUCUUUCAUCAUCUAUUUAUACUCAAAAAGAGGAUGCUGUUGACAAAGUUGUGCUAUUCUUCAUACAGCAUGAGAUGUAGCAUUUGAAAUUUUGAAUGGUGCACCCUGUGUACCAAUUUAUUUUCCAUGAUUCUAUCAAUAGAUAUUUUUGCUCAAGGAUCUAUGCAUAUAACCAAUAAAUCAACGGUCUAUCUUUUGACAUUUAUUUAAUCAAAGCAUACACAAUUUUCCUCUUUUUUAAUCCAUAAACACACAAUUAACUUGUUUAUCAUCAAAAAACUAACAGGGUAUCACAGAACAAAAUCAUACAAAACAUCAUAAUCUGCAACUUGGUAUGACAAGUAAAUUGACCAGAUUGGCAGAUUCAUCACCACAACCUCAUAAACUAGUAUAACAGUUCAAAUCUGAUUAAUUGCAUUAUAUACAACUUUUCUCAUUUUUACCAAUUUAUACAACAAAGUGAUCAUCUACACAAAUAUGCAAAGCUUUAAACAUUUUCCCUAUAACCUGUUUAACCGGUCACUGUGUUAUUUUUUUGUCACUUAAAUCCUUCGGCAGUCACAUGUCACCUUGAUUUCUCCCACCAAGAUUUAAGAGCACCAACCUACGGGAAUGUGAAAUUACCAUUGAUGAUACAGAAAAAUCCCAGCAUAAGGACCAUUCAAAACAUACCCAUGAAUCAAAAUGUUCCAAAGAACGACAAUUCAUUCAGAAAUUCCAUCAAACAGUAGGUGGGCAUUGGACAAAUCGAUGCAUUGUCAGUACAAAUCAGCAUGUUCAGUACCUAAGUUAGUGUCGUAUCCUAAAACAAUUAAGCAAAGAUGUUCAUGAAGCUGUCUAUCUGGUUGAAACCCCUUCAAGCAAUGAACUAAAAAACUUAAGUUGCAAAAGUGAAUCAUACAUUAGCACAUAAGCGAACACACACACACACACAUAUUUAGCUUGAUAAAACAAUACCUUGCGCACAGGUAGAUAAACAAAGAAUCUGAAAUUGGAACUCGGACUCACAUAUCGGCGAAGACGACGAUGGGGGUAAAAAAAAUUGGACCAUUUCAGCGAAUAAACGAACAGAGAUAGAUUUACCAACCUUUGGAAGAACAAUUGCUGUUAGAUGCCUCCUCAAAAUCCACAACAGGGAGGUGAUGAAACAACAUAAGGAACAAAAAAGAAAAACAGGGAGGUGAUGAAACAACAUAAGGAACAAAAAAGAAAAACUUUACUGUGUAAGAAAUUUCUCAGGCGUUCCGACUGGAAUUAGGGUUUCGGCGAAGACGAUGAAGGGGGUAAAAAAAUUUGGACCAUUUCUCGAUUUGUGCGUGUCAUCCUUGCGCAGGGGCCAUGCUAAUCUUCUCUGUAUCGUUCCAAUUUUAUCGGAUGUCCCCGAAGGGACGAUAAUGCUUGCAGAGCUUCACAAUAUAAACGAUUCCCAGGCUCUUGUCCCUGUCGAUAUGGUACGACGCGAGUUCAAAGCCAACUAGUUUACUAUUCAUAGUUCUG